rnacentral:rRNA from 1 species
AGACGGAGGUGGCAAACGUUGCUCGGAAUCACUGGGCUUAAAGGGCGUGUAGGCGGUCUUCCAAGUCGGGUGUGAAAGCCCUCGGCUCAACCGAGGAAUUGCAUCCGAUACUGGUCGACUAGAGUGCGGCAGGGGUAAGUGGAACUCCAGGUGUAGCGGUGAAAUGCGUAGAUAUCUGGAGGAACGCCAAUGGCGAAAGCAACUUGCUGGGUCGCAACUGACGCUGAGGCGCGAAAGCUAGGGGAGCGAACGGGAUUAGAUACCCCAGUAGUCC